rnacentral:rRNA from 1 species
GACGAACGCUGGCGGCAUGCCUAACACAUGCAAGUCGAACGGUAAGGCUUCCUUCGGGAAGUACACGAGUGGCGAACGGGUGAGUAACACGUGGGUAACCUACCCUUGACUGGGGGACAACCGAGGGAAACUUCGGCUAAUACCGCAUACGCACUAUGGUGGAAAGCGGGGGACCGCAAGGCCUCGCGCUAUUAGAGCGGCCGAUGCCCGAUUAGCUAGUUGGUGAGGUAAAGGCUCACCAAGGCGACGAUCGGUAGCUGGUCUGAGAGGACGACCAGCCACACUGGGACUGAGACACGGCCCAGACUCCUACGGGAGGCAGCAGUGGGGAAUUUUGGACAAUGGGGGCAACCCUGAUCCAGCCAUUCCGCGUGUGGGAAGAAGGCCUUCGGGUUGUAAACCACUUUCGGACGGGAAGAAAUCGACGUGACGAAUAAUCGUGUCGGAUGACGGUACCGUAAGAAGAAGCACCGGCUAACUACGUGCCAGCCGCCGCCGUAA